rnacentral:rRNA from 1 species
CACGUAGGGGGCAAGCGUUGUCCGGAUUUAUUGGGCGUAAAGAGCUCGUAGGUGGUUCGGUAAGUCAGGUGUGAAACCUCCAGGCUCAACCUGGAGACGCCACUUGAUACUGCUGUGACUGGAGUCCGGUAGGGGAGCGUGGAAUUCCUGGUGUAGCGGUGAAAUGCGCAGAUAUCAGGAGGAACACCAGCGGCGAAGGCGGCGCUCUGGGCCGGUACUGACGCUGAGGCGCGAAAGCGUGGGGAGCAAACAGG